rnacentral:rRNA from 1 species
GAUCCUGGCUCAGGAUGAACGCUAGCUACAGGCUCAACACAUGCAAGUGAGGGGCAGCAUUCCAGUUUGCUUGCAAACUGGAGAUGGCAACCGGCGCACGGGUGAGUAACACGUAUCCAACCUGCCGAUAACUCGGGGAUAGCCUUUCGAAAGAAAGAUUAAUACCCGAUGGCAUAAUAGAACCGCAUGGUUUGAUUAUUAAAGAAUUUCGGUUAUCGAUGGGGAUGCGUUCCAUUAGG